GUAUUGUAUCAGUUAGUUGGUGGGGUAAUGGCUUACCAAGACUAUGACACAUAACUGGUUUGAGAGGAUGAUCAGUCACACUGGAACUGAGACACGGUCCAGACUCCUACGGGAGGCAGCAGUGGGGAAUAUUGCACAAUGGACGAAAGUCUGAUGCAGCAACGCCGCGUGGAGGAUGACACAUUUCGGUGCGUAAACUCCUUUUAUAUGAGAAGAUAAUGACGGUAUUAUAUGAAUAAGCACCGGCUAACUCCGUGCCAGCAGCCGCGGUAAUACGGGGGGUGCAAGCGUUACUCGGAAUCACUGGGCGUAAAGAGCAUGUAGGCGGAUUAAUAAGUUUGAAGUGAAAUCCUAUAGCUUAACUAUAGAACUGCUUUGAAAACUGUUAAUCUAGAAUGUGGGAGAGGUAGAUGGAAUUUCUGGUGUAGGGGUAAAAUCCGUAGAGAUCAGAAGGAAUACCGAUUGCGAAGGCGAUCUACUGGAACAUUAUUGACGCUGAGAUGCGAAAGCGUGGGGAGCAAACAGGAUUAGAUACCCUGGUAGUCCACGCCCUAAACGAUGUACACUAGUUGUUGUGAGACUUGAUCUUGCAGUAAUGCAGUUAACACAUUAA
rnacentral:rRNA from 1 species